rnacentral:rRNA from 1 species
UACGGAGGGUGCAAGCGUUAUCCGGAUUCACUGGGUUAAAGGGUGCGUAGGUGGGUUGUAAGUCAGUGGUGAAGCCCAUCGCUCAACGGUGGAACGGCCAUUGAUACUGCCAGACUUGAAUUAUUAGGAAGUAACUAGAAUAUGUAGUGUAGCGGUGAAAUGCUUAGAUAUUACAUGGAAUACCGAUUGCGAAGGCAGGUUACUACCGGUGGAUUGACGCUGAUGGACGAAAGCGUGGGUAGCGAACAGG